UACGUAGGGGGCGAGCGUUGUCCGGAUUUACUGGGCGUAAAGGGCUCGUAGGCGGCCAACUAAGUCAUACGUGAAAUCCCUCGGCUUAACCGGGGAACUGCGUCUGAUACUGGAUGGCUUGAGAUUGGGAGAGGGAUGCGGAAUUCCAGGUGUAGCGGUGAAAUGCGUAGAUAUCUGGAGGAACACCGGUGGCGAAGGCGGCAUCCUGGACCAACACUGACGCUGAGGAGCGAAAGCCAGGGGAGCAAACGGG
rnacentral:rRNA from 1 species